AGUGAACGCUGGCGGUAGGCCUAACACAUGCAAGUCGAACGGCAGCACAGUAAGAGCUUGCUCUUACGGGUGGCGAGUGGCGGACGGGUGAGGAAUACAUCGGAAUCUACUUUUUCGUGGGGGAUAACGUAGGGAAACUUACGCUAAUACCGCAUACGACCUACGGGUGAAAGCAGGGGAUCUUCGGACCUUGCGCGAUUGAAUGAGCCGAUGUCGGAUUAGCUAGUUGGCGGGGUAAAGGCCCACCAAGGCGACGAUCCGUAGCUGGUCUGAGAGGAUGAUCAGCCACACUGGAGCUGAGACACGGUCCAGACUCCUACGGGAGGCAGCAGUGGGGAAUAUUGGACAAUGGGCGCAAGCCUGAUCCAGCCAUACCGCGUGGGUGAAGAAGGCCUUCGGGUUGUAAAGCCCUUUUGUUGGGAAAGAAAAGCAGCAGGUUAAUACCCCGCUGUUCUGACGGUACCCAAAGAAUAAGCACCGGCUAACUUCGCG
rnacentral:rRNA from 1 species